AUACCUUUCUCUGUCUUUUGGCUAAAAUAAAGUGUAAUGUUUGUUUUCAUCAGUUUAAUAUCUAGUUUUAGACUAUAUGUUCACUAUGGUAUUAAAUUUAUUUGUAUAGUUUUUUAGAGAUGGUCCAUCAUACUGACUUAUUAUGCUCUCACCUAUUGCACUGCUGCUCGGUGUCAAAUAUGAUUGUGU
rfam:Zea mays cultivar B73 chromosome 5, whole genome shotgun sequence.